AACUGCAGCCCAAGACUAGUUUCCCACUGAAGCUGAGCAGGGUUGAGCAAGUACCUGGAUGGGAGACCUCCUGGGAAAACUAGGUUGCUGCUGGAA
rnacentral:rRNA from 1 species